AAUGCGGACAUAAGGUCCGUACGUGUGAAAGGGCCCUUAGGCCUCUUUCACACAAGCAGAUCGAUCAGGUCUGCCUGCCUGUUUUUCGGGCGGGCCCAAUCGGACCACCCAUUGUUCUUUAUGGAGAGGCUGAUGUAAAUGGACAUGUGUCUGUUCACACCCGCCUGCAUCCGAUCCAGUCCAGUCUGCCAAAAACAGACAGAUGGGGAUUCUAUUCCCCAUCCAUCUAGCAGAUUGGAUUGGAUGGGACAGGCGGUCCGUUUUCAUCCGACUGCCCCAUAGAGAACAGCGGGCUGUUUCUGUGUCUGCUUUGGAUCAGCAGAGCGGACACAGACUUCUCAUCUGCCUGCUCAGCGGGGAUCAGCAGACAGAUCCCCUGCUGGGCAGGCGGAUCUAUUUGACAGAGUCUGCUCCAUGUGAAAGGGGUCUUACCAAGAGCGGCCAGUCCAUUAGGAGUGCCACUGUCCUGCAGGGCUCCUGACUCGUUUGUAUGAGUUUUUUUCUUUCAAGCCACAUUAUUAGAUCCUGAGGCUCUAAUUGGGGUGAAAAAAGUUGGGCUUGGGGCACAGAGCAUUGCACCUCGAACCCACCCACUUGUGACAAUAGCGAAUUAAUAUUCGCUAUGGUCUUCUGGCUUCUCUUGAAGAGGCUGUAGAGCGGUGAGUGUGUGGGGGAGACUGUCGCCAUGGAGGGGUGAGUGUGGGAGGGGGGCCUGUCACCAUGGAGAGGCUGGGGGGGUUGCCGUCCCCCCAAAAAGUCCCUGGGUCUUAUUAGUUUUUUUUGGGGGGGGGGGGUCUUUGGUGAGCCAUCAGACCCCCGUAUUUCUUUUUUUGAGACAGAGAAAGGGACUGAAGAGAGUAAUUUUCUCUGUAUUACUGUACUUGAAUGAAAUACAGAAUCUGUAUAGAGAUUACAUUCAUUCAUAAACUGACAGUCUGAUACUCACAGUUACUAUUAUCAGUGGGCAUAUAGGAGCGAUCAUAGUGAUCGCUGCAUGCGCCCAGAGUGCUUCACUGAGGGGGUGGUAAACACGUUUACCAAGCCCCCUCAAGCCCAAACUUCACCCGCACCGCUCCCCCCUCCCCUGCCACUAUCUCCAGUCUGUCAAAUUACUGGAGUAGAAGCUGUGGGAAGGAAGGGGAGAUGCCGCUCCCAGCAUGGAUGGAUCAGGGGUGCGAUGGCCGGUACGGGAGGUGAUCAGAAUGAUUGGGGGGAUUCAUCUGGACCCCCCAAGCUCCAUGCAGCACCUGAAGCCAGUGGGAGCGGCAGAGGAGGCAGCACCCGUGACAGACAGGUGCGAUGUAAGUCUGCCAUAAUGUGCUCAUAUGCUGCAUACCAGAGCAUUAUGCCCAAAUGCUCCUGGGGCCCAACUGAAAAAAAAAAGAAUUUACAAAAUGCCAAAUCUUUUUUUUUAUUAUAAAUUUGGGAGUAGAGAAUGGUUAACCCCUAUUGCCACCUGUGUCCAUUAAGGACAUUUCUAUUAACUUCCUGACCGGUCAGAGUAAAGUAAUUUUUUACUUUUUUUUUAUUUAGUCUUACCUGCUCUGCGCAACAGGUUUUGCACAGAGCAGCCCUUAUCUCUCCACUUCUCUGGUACUCUGCCGGUGCUCCUAGACCCCCCCCCCCCCCCGCAUAGUAAGCUUCUUUCUAUGGGAACACUUAUGCAGGCUUGCUCCCAAGAUGGAUCUGGCACAUACAGAAAGUGGCGCAGCCCUGCCCCUCUUCCAUGUGAUUGACAGCAGUGGGAGGCAAUGGCUUCUGCUGCUGUCUUUGAGUCAAUGAGAAAGUGAUAGAGCCACUGCUCUAGUGCACAUGGCUGGAUCAUAAUUAGGCUCCGGUAAGUAUAAGGGGAGCUGCACUCAGGUUUUGUACCUUAAUGCAGAGAAUGCAUUAAGAUGCAAAAAAAAACUUCUGCCUUUUCAACCACUUUACCAGAGAAGCUGAGUAAUUAAUUAUGAAGAGUGUGGAUUGUUAUCCACCCAAUAAUUAUAAAAAAGUGGGAGUAUGGCCUUUAUUAGGAAUUUGUAAUAAACAUAGUAAAGUACCAUCAUCUGGGUAUUGAUGAACAAGUAAAGGGGGAGGGUGGAAAUAGAGGAAUAGUUGCUGAGGCUAAUUCCAGAACAAACCCCCACACAUCCGGAACAGCUCCUGCCUUGUCCACAGCCAGCCCACCUGUCCCCUCACCAUUGGGAAUCCUUUUCUUGGUCUUGGCCCCCUAUGCAUCUGUGGAUGCUAAUUGCUGUGGUGAGUUUUACCUUGAUCACCCCAUGGGGUAUUCCUGUCCCUCUUGCCCCUCUCUCCCCCCUUCCCUCAUAAUCCCUUCCCUCCCUUGCCCUUCCUUUCUCUUCCAUAUCCCCCCCUUCCUCCCCCCCCCUUUUCCUUGCCCUUUUGCCCCUCCUUCCCCUCUUCCUCCCCUUUCUUCCUUUCCCCUUUCCACCCUCAAUGUAUUCACGUACUGGGCCCCUCCUAACCUAGUGUAUGCCAUUUAUUUAGAGAUCAACGCACCAUCCCCCAGGUCCGCCGCGGGGGGAUAAUCACCUGGGCAGAUUUGGCUCCAGGCCUGCUUCGUUACAUAUUGGAUUGGUUCUCCUGAGGAAGCGGACACCCCGUGAAAUUAGCCGAGAAUCGACCAAUCUUUUGAUGUACAUUAUUGUUUUAAAUGCAACAUUUUAAUUUAAUAAAAUUAUCUUUUUUACUCAUCA